rnacentral:rRNA from 1 species
UGUGGCCGGUGGGGCCAAGGGUUCGGAAACCGGCUUUGUGGGUUCAACUGAUUUGAAGAGCUUGCUCAGAUAUGACGAUGGACAUUGCAAAGAGUGGCGAACGGGUGAGUAACACGUGGGAAACCUACCUCUUAGCAGGGGAUAACAUUUGGAAACAGAUGCUAAUACCGUAUAACAAUGACAACCGCAUGGUUGUUAUUUAAAAGAUGGUUCUGCUAUCACUAAGAGAUGGUCCCGCGGUGCAUUAGCUAGUUGGUAAGGUAAUGGCUUACCAAGGCGAUGAUGCAUAGCCGAGUUGAGAGACUGAUCGGCCACAAUGGGACUGAGACACGGCCCAUACUCCUACGGGAGGCAGCAGUAGGGAAUCUUCCACAAUGGGCGAAAGCCUGAUGGAGCAACGCCGCGUGUGUGAUGAAGGGUUUCGGCUCGUAAAACACUGUUGUAAGAGAAGAAUGACAUUGAGAGUAACUGUUCAAUGUGUGACGGUAUCUUACCAGAAAGGAACGGCUAAAUACGUGCCAGCAGCCGCGGUAAUACGUAUGUUCCAAGCGUUAUCCGGAUUUAUUGGGCGUAAAGCGAGCGCAGACGGUUAUUUAAGUCUGAAGUGAAAGCCCUCAGCUCAACUGAGGAAUUGCUUUGGAAACUGGAUGACUUGAGUGCAGUAGAGGAAAGUGGAACUCCAUGUGUAGCGGUGAAAUGCGUAGAUAUAUGGAAGAACACCAGUGGCGAAGGCGGCUUUCUGGACUGUAACUGACGUUGAGGCUCGAAAGUGUGGGUAGCAAACAGGAUUAGAUACCCUGGUAGUCCACACCGUAAACGAUGAGUGCUAGGUGUUUGAGGGUUUCCGCCCUUAAGUGCCGCAGCUAACGCAUUAAGCACUCCGCCUGGGGAGUACGACCGCAAGGUUGAAACUCAAAGGAAUUGACGGGGACCCGCACAAGCGGUGGAGCAUGUGGUUUAAUUCGAAGCAACGCGAAGAACCUUACCAGGUCUUGACAUCCCUUGACAACUCCAGAGAUGGAGCGUUCCCUUCGGGGACAAGGUGACAGGUGGUGCAUGGUUGUCGUCAGCUCGUGUCGUGAGAUGUUGGGUUAAGUCCCGCAACGAGCGCAACCCUUAUUACUAGUUGCCAGCAUUCAGUUGGGCACUCUAGUGAGACUGCCGGUGACAAACCGGAGGAAGGUGGGGAUGACGUCAAAUCAUCAUGCCCCUUAUGACCUGGGCUACACACGUGCUACAAUGGCGUAUACAACGAGUUGCCAACCCGCGAGGGUGAGCUAAUCUCUUAAAGUACGUCUCAGUUCGGAUUGUAGGCUGCAACUCGCCUACAUGAAGUCGGAAUCGCUAGUAAUCGCGGAUCAGCACGCCGCGGUGAAUACGUUCCCGGGUCUUGUACACACCGCCCGUCACACCAUGAGAGUUUGUAACACCCAAAGCCGGUGGGGUAACCUUCGGGAGCCAGCCGUCUAAGGUUGACCCGAG